UAGUAACUGCGAGUGAAGCGGGAAAAGCUCAAAUUUAAAAUCUGGUGGUCUUUUGGCCAUCCGAGUUGUAAUUUAGAGAAGCGUCUUCCGCGCUGGACCGUACACAAGUCUCCUGGAACGGAGCGUCAUAGAGGGUGAGAAUCCCGUCUUUGGUACGGACCCCCAGGGCUUCUGUGAUGCGCUCUCGAAGAGUCGAGUUGUUUGGGAAUGCAGCUCAAAAUGGGUGGUGAACUCCAUCUAAAGCUAAAUAUUGGCGAGAGACCGAUAGCGAACAAGUACCGUGAGGGAAAGAUGAAAAGCACUUUGGAAAGAGAGUGAAACAGUACGUGAAAUUGUUGAAAGGGAAACGCUUAAAGUCAGUCGCGUCCGCCGAGACUCAGCCUCGCUCCGGCUUGGUGUAUUUCUCGGUCGACGGGUCAGCAUCAAUUUUGUCCCUCGGAUAAUGGCGAGAGAAAGGUGGCACCUUUGCCGGUGUGUUAUAGUCUUUUGUCGCAUGCGAGGGGUGAGAUUGAGGAACUCAGCACGCGCGCCCUUCUGGGUGUGUCGGGGCCAAGGCCCACGCCACGUGCUUAGGAUGCUGGCGUAAUGGCUUUAAACGACCCGUCUUGAAACACGGACCAAGGAGUCUAACAUGCCCGCGAGUGUUCGGGUGGAAAACCCGUGCGCGUAAUGAAAGUGAAAGUUGGGACCUUCGUCGUGAAGGGCACCGACGCCCGGACCA
rnacentral:rRNA from 1 species